GACGGAGGAUGCAAGCGUUAUCCGGAAUUAUUGGGCGUAAAGCGUCCGCAGGUGGCUGUUCAAGUCUGCUGUCAAAGCGCAGAGCUUAACUCUGUACAGGCGGUGGAAACUGAAGAGCUAGAGUAUGGUAGGGGUAGAGGGAAUUCCCGGUGUAGCGGUGAAAUGCGUAGAUAUCGGGAAGAACACCGGUGGCGAAGGCGGGUCUCUGGGCAGUAACUGACGCUGAGGAGCGAAAGCGUGGGUAGCAAACAGG
rnacentral:rRNA from 1 species